CAGUAGCCGCGGGAAUACGGAGGGGGCUAGCGUUGUUCGUAAUUACUGGGCGUAAAGCGCACGUAGGCGGCUUUGUAAGUUAGAGGUGAAAGCCCGGAGCUCAACUCCGGAAUUGCCUUUAAGACUGCAGAGCUAGCAGGUGAGAGAGGUGAGUGGAAUUCCGAGUGUAGAGGUGAAAUUCGUAGAUAUUCGGAAGAACACCAGUGGCGAAGGCGGCUCACUGGCUCAUACUGGACGCUGAGGUGCGAAAGCGUGGGGAGCAAACAGGAUUAGAUACCCGCGUAGUCCCUGUCUCUUAUAC
rnacentral:rRNA from 1 species